rnacentral:rRNA from 1 species
AAUAUUUGACAAUGGGCGGAAGCCUGAUCCAGCCAUGCCGCGUGCGUGAAGAAGGUCUUCGGAUUGUAAAGCACUUUAAUUGGGGAGGAAGGGGUUACACCUAAUAAGUGUGAUUUUUGACGUUACCAUAAGAAUAAGAACCGGCUAACUUCGUGCCAGCAGCCGGGGUAAAACGAAAGGUGCAAGCGUUCAUGGGAAUUAAUGGGCGUAAAGCGCGCGUGUGUGGUUCGUUAUGUUUGAAGUGAGAGCCCCGGGCUCAACCUGGGAAUUGCUUUCAAAACUGGCGAGCUAGAGUACGGUAGAGGGUGGUGGAAUUUCCUGUGUAGCGGUGAAAUGCGUAGAUAUAGGAAGGAACAUCAGUGGCGAAGGCGACCACCUGGACUGAUACUGACACUGAGGUGCGAAAGCGUGGGGAGCAAACAGG